rnacentral:rRNA from 1 species
GAUGAACGCUGGCGGCGUGCCUAAUACAUGCAAGUCGAGCGAACAGACGAGGAGCUUGCUCCUCUGACGUUAGCGGCGGACGGGUGAGUAACACGUGGAUAACCUACCUAUAAGACUGGGAUAACUUCGGGAAACCGGAGCUAAUACCGGAUAAUAUAUUGAACCGCAUGGUUCAAUAGUGAAAGACGGUUUUGCUGUCACUUAUAGAUGGAUCCGCGCCGCAUUAGCUAGUUGGUAAGGUAACGGCUUACCAAGGCAACGAUGCGUAGCCGACCUGAGAGGGAGAUCGGCCACACUGGAACUGAGACACGGUCCAGACUCCUACGGGAGGCAGCAGUAGGGAAUCUUCCGCAAUGGGCGAAAGCCUGACGGAGCAACGCCGCGUGAGGGAUGAAGGUCUUCGGAUCGUAAAACUCUGUUAUUAGGGAAGAACAAAUGUGUAAGUAACUAUGCUCGUCUUGACGGUACCUAAUCAGAAAGCCACGGCUAACUACGUG